rnacentral:rRNA from 1 species
GGAGUUAGCCGGUGCUUCUUCUGUGAGUGAUGUCCUUCCUGCCGGCUAUUAACCCGCAGGCCUUCUUCCUCACUGAAAGUGCUUUACAACCCGAAGGCCUUCUUCACACACGCGGCAUGGCUGGAUCAGGGUUGCCCCCAUUGUCCAAUAUUCCCCACUGCUGCCUCCCGUAGGAGUCUGGGCCGUGUCUCAGUCCCAGUGUGGCUGAUCAUCCUCUCAGACCAGCUACGGAUCGUCGCCUUGGUGAGCCGUUACCUCACCAACCAGCUAAUCCGACAUAGGCUCAUCCGAUAGCGCGAGGCCCGAAGGUCCCCCGCUUUCCACCGUAGGGCGUAUGCGGUAUUAGCCUGGGUUUCCCCAGGUUAUCCCCCACUACCGGGCAGAUUCCUAUGCAUUACUCACCCGUCCGCCGCUCGCCACCAGGGAGCAAGCUCCCCGUGCUGCCGCUCGACUUGCAUGUGUUAGGCCUGCCGCCAGCGUUCAAUCUGAGCCAGGAUCAAACUCUGA